GCAAGUCGAACGCAGUAGCAAUACUGAGUGGCAAACGGGUGAGUAUAAUGUGGGUAUCUGCCUUUUGGUUUGGAAUAACAUGAGGAAACUUGUGCUAAUACCGAAUAAGCCUUCACAGGGAAAGUUUUAUACGCCGAAAGAUGAGCCCGCACUUGAUUAGUUUGUUGGUGAGGUAAAAGCUCACCAAGACAAUUAUCAAUAGCUGGUCUGAGAGGACGAUCAGCCACAUUGGGACUGAGACACGGCCCAGACUCCUACGGGAGGCAGCAGUAAGGAAUCUUGCACAAUGGGGGAAACCCUGAUGCAGCGAUGCCGCGUGAGUGAAGAAGGCCCUUGGGUUGUAAAACUCUUUCGUCGGGGAAGAAAAUGACUGUACCCGAAUAAGAAGGUCCGG
rnacentral:rRNA from 1 species